GGCCCGGUAGUGUAAUGGUAACACACCUGCUUAUUGUUCACAUUUUGGACGACGGCGUGUCUGCAGGAGUCCCACGUUCAAUUCGGGGCCGGGUCC